UGGGGAAUAUUGCACAAUGGGCGCAAGCCUGAUGCAGCCAUGCCGCGUGUAUGAAGAAGGCCUUCGGGUUGUAAAGUACUUUCAGCGGGGAGGAAGGGAGUAAAGUUAAUACCUUUGCUCAUUGACGUUACCCGCAGAAGAAGCACCGGCUAACUCCGUGCCAGCAGCCGCGGUAAUACGGAGGGUGCAAGCGUUAAUCGGAAUUACUGGGCGUAAAGCGCACGCAGGCGGUUUGUUAAGUCAGAUGUGAAAUCCUCGGGCUCAACCUGGGAACUGCAUCUGAUACUGGCAAGCUUGAGUCUCGUAGAGGGGGGUAGAAUUCCAGGUGUAGCGGUGAAAUGCGUAGAGAUCUGGAGGAAUACCGGUGGCGAAUGCGGCCCCCUGGACGAAGACUGACGCUCAGGUGCGAAAGCGUGGGGAGCAAACAGG
rnacentral:rRNA from 1 species